GAACCUGCGGAGGGAUCAUUACCGAGUUUACAACUCCCAAACCCCUGUGAACAUACCUAUAAUUUGCCUCGGCAGACUCAACGACGGUGCUCCGAGAAAUCGGGCGCCGCUCGCUGCCAGAGGAACCCCAAACUCUAUGUAUUCUUGUGGAUCUUCUGAGUAAAACAAAACAAAUAAAUCAAAACUUUCAACAACGGAUCUCUUGGUUCUGGCAUCGAUGAAGAACGCAGCGAAAUGCGAUAAGUAAUGUGAAUUGCAGAAUUCAGUGAAUCAUCGAAUCUUUGAACGCACAUUGCGCCCGCCAGUAUUCUGGCGGGCAUGCCUGUUCGAGCGUCAUUUCAACCCUCAAGCCCCCCGGGCUUGGUGUUGGGGAUCGGCGAUAGUCGCCGUCCCCCAAAUCUAGUGGCGGUCUCGCUGUAGCCUCCAUUGCGUAGUAGCUAACACCUCGCAACUGGAACGCGGCGCGGCCAAGCCGUUAAACCCCCAACUUCUGAAUGUUGACCUCGGAUCAGGUAGGAAUACCCGCUGAACUUAAGCAUAUCAAUA
rnacentral:rRNA from 1 species